rnacentral:lncRNA from 1 species
CCCCCAUCCCCCAUCCCCCAUGGCAGGAGAAACAGUCAAGUUUUUCCUGCCCAUCACUCAAUGGCUCAAUCGCAUCGCUCUCCCGGCAACACCGUAACGAGGAGCAACUUGCCGUUUGGAUAUAUCCUAGCUGUGUUUGUGCCCUCACUCAUGGUCCAGACUUUUUUCAAAUAGGAUAUGUAGUUUGUCUGCAGCGAGUGUUUUGGUAGAAACUGCGCCUCCCAUUCAUUAUAAUGGGAAAUGACCACAGACAAGUGCGCACACCAUCUUUGGACCUUGAGUGUGACGCGAUCGGGAGGGGGAGGCGGUCGCGCUGGGGGCGGCGCGACGCGGCUCGGGCCCGACAGUGCCCCACCGGGGCCCUAGUUCUUUCUUUCUUUCUUCUUUUUCCUCCCCUUUGAACUGGAAAAUGGCCCACUUCCCACUGGCGAAAACUCAUGAAAUUUGGCAGGACGACCGGGCCUGGUGAAAAAUUCGAUAUUCUGAAGUCGCCCAAACAAUAAAAUGCAAAAUGGCUCCAUAGCGCCCCCUAAGGUGGAAAUUCACACUAUUGACUGUCACGCCUGUACGCUUUGUCAUAUUGACACAAAAAUUGACACACAUAUGUAUCUCAAUAAGAUCUACAAAAAAGUCAGUGCGGCCGUAUCUGUCAAAAUUACGGUUAAAGGGUUAUUUCGCAUUUUUUGCCGAUCCGCACACAUUGGAAUUUCGCUAACUCCUCCGAAGGCUUUCGUUCCACCGGCACCACAUUUGCUCAGGCCAAUCUACACCCCGUGGCCAUUAAAAGUUAUCAAAAUCAUGACGCUGCACCCCAAGGUUUAGGUUCUAGGGGGCGCCAAAGAUAACACUAAAAUCCACAUAUUUAAAAGUCUUAUAACUUUUUAUUUUUGUCCUCACUGGCCUCCAAGUUUUCUAGGAUGAUGCAAUGUCCAGCCAUCAACACAUUUGUGAAGGAAUUUUUACUCACCAAAAGAGCGCCCCCCCAUGGCAGGAGAAAAAAGUCCAUUUUUUCUUGUCCCCUAAGGUGAAAAUACACAUUGUUGAGUGUCACGCCUAUACGCUUUGUCAAAAUUACACAAAAAUUGACACACACAUGUAACUCAAUAAGAUCUACGAAAAAGUCAAUGCGUGCGUAUCUGUCAAAUGUACGGUUAAAGGGUUAUUCCGCAUUUUUUGCCGAUCCGCACACAUUGGAAUGUGGCUAACUCCUCCUAAGGCUUUCGUUCCACCGGCACCACAUUUGCUCAGGCCAAUCUACACCCCAUGGCCAUUAAAAGUUAUUCAAAUCAUGACGCUGCACCCCACGGUUUAGGUUCUAGGGGGCGCCAAAGAUAACCCUAAAAUCCACAUAUUUAAAAGUCUUAUAACUUUUUAUUUUUGUCCUCACUGGCCUCCAAGUUUUCUAGGAUGAUGCAAUGUCCAGCCAUCAACACAUUUGUGAAGGAAUUUUUACUCCCCAAAAGAGCGCCCCCCAUGGCAGGAGAAAAAAGUCCAUUUUUUCUUGUCCCCUAAGGUGAAAAUACAUAUUGUUGAGAUUCACGCCUAUACGCUUUGUCAUAUUGACACAAAAUUUGACAAUCACGUGCCUUGCCUGGUAUCAUUUUUUUCAGCCCAACCUCACCUGUGCGAAUUUACAGUUAUUUUAUCAUGUUGACAUACUGAAUUUACACAAUGGACCCAAAUUCACACACAAAACAUAAAAUCCGAGUGGAAAAAAGUAACAUUUUUACUGUGAAAACCACAAAUAUGUGUGAUGAACUGUUUUUAAAACUUAAACUUCAAAUAAAAAUUGUAAACUUCAAAACAUAUGCAAAUUUUUAACAAAGAACAUAGUAAUUUACCUCUAUUUACAUCAAAAUGCAGGCAAUGGCCCAGGCGUUCUUUGUAAAAUUAUUUACAAAACACUGUAUAGUCUCACAAAUGUCACUUUUUAUUUAUGCCACUACAAAAAAACAUGAUGUAAAUGAUGCAUGAUGUAAAACAUGAUGUAAAAAACUUGUGUAGAUCCUCCUCUAUGUCAGUCCAUGUGUAAUUUUUCCAUAAUUCUUUGUUUUUUGCAGCAUUUUUGUUAGUGUAACUGCAGAUUGUGCUGACAGUGUCUAUGGCACAAAAAAAAAAAAAUUUAAAAUGCCUCAACAUGAACCCCUGGUGGUCUCUGAGGGUGAAACCUGCUAACUGCUGCAGCUCUGUCAGCUUCAGUCUCCCAUGCAGAGCUCUGAGCGCAUGUGUGGCUCUGCACCCUUAGCAGCGUUGCUAACUCCUCAGUAAGGAAAGCCUGCUUCAUGUCAGAGUCUCUAAUCUCCAGAAGAAGUCGAUAAAAGUCCCUUUCUUUCUAAAAAAAGUCGUUAGGGGGUCUGAAAAGUCAUUGAAUCUAACAACAAAGUCGCUAGGUUUGCAACUACGUGUCCCAGACUGCAUCCCUGCUGAGAGUCCCUCCCUCGCUUCUCAUGUUGCAGGAAGAACGUAAGCGCCCGCCCCUUGUCAAUCAGUCACCAUAUAAUUUUGGAUUGGUUGUUGUGGUGAAGUUUUCCACCAAUAGGAGAGAUGUUGUGGUGUGUUUUUUUUUUCUUUUGGCAAGCCUUUUCCGCCUGUAAGACCUGUCGCUAAUGUCUGCAUGCUAUGUUUUCCUGUCUCAUACAGCGCGAUCGAGCGCCGAACGUGAUCAAAAUAAGCAGAAAAAAAGUAUCGCGGACAUAAUUUAUCAUAACUCUGGUUUUAUUUGGCCUAUCAACACAAUUUAAAAACUGGUAUAUAGGUUGAGGUCCUCACUUUUGAGAUAAGUUGAAACGGAGAGUCAACGAGGCUCCGUCUUGCAGCUACAUCCGGUUAAAUAUGUCAUGUGACUUGAACGCACACACAGACACACACACACACACACACACACACACACACACACACACACACACACACACACACACACACACACACACUCAGAGUCUGGUUUUUAGCACCUGCAAAAACAUGCUAUUUACAUAUUUGACAAGAAUGCAGAGGCUCCUUUUGCCCCUGAAAAAAAUCAAAUUUCAAACACAACUUGACUGGUCAUUUCUCCAAAAGACAACCAUGAAGCUCCAUCCAAACCUGAAGCAGGCAGUUGGUGCAUGUGUACAGUAACCUGAGGGGAGUGAGGUGAGUGCUUCUGAGGAGAACAUGAGCAGUGAAGAUUCACCUUGGAGCUAGAACAGAGACAUGCACAUGAUUAUACAGGGGCAGGGGCUCAAGUUUUUUCCAGUCGUCUAUACAAUAUGGAAAUUAAUGUGAAAUUAAAACACAAAGUAUUAAUAGAAAGGUAAUGACUGUUCUGUGUAGGUGACAGUGAUAUCCAAUAGGCUAGGCACUCACGAGGCUGGCUGUGGCAAGUGUAAGUGAAAGCAACACGCACUGGCAGGAAGAACAGCAAACGCCGAUGAAGGAAAAGGGUCUUUGCAGUGAUGGGCGUUACCAGAGAGGGCGAUGGCCAGAGGACACAAAUGGGACGGGGAGGCAGCACGUUGGGGGGGACGCGACACGGCUCGGGCCCGCCAGUGCCCCAACGGGGUCCUAGUCUUUGUUUCUUUAGGGCCCGAGCGUAGCUGCUAAGCAGCUGCGAGAGCCCUCUUGUUCCUGUAGUUACCUUCUUUUGUUAUUAGGGCCCGAGCCAGCUGCAGAGCAGCCGGGCGUAGGCCCUAUUAUUCCCCAAGUGGUUUUUCUUUGUUUCUUUCUUUCUUUCUUUCUUUAGGGCCCGAGCCAGCUGCAGAGCAGCCGGGCGUAGGCCCUAUUAUUCCCCAAGUGGUUUUUCUUUGUUUCUUUCUUUCUUUCUUUCUUUCUUCUUUUUCCUCCCCUUUGAACUGGAAAAUGGCCCACUUCCCACUGGCGAAAACUCAUGAAAUUUGGCAGGACGACCGGGCCUGGUGAAAAAUUUGAUAUUCUGAAGUCGCCCAAACAAUAAAAUGCAAAAUGGCUCCAUAGCGCCCCCUAAGGUGAAAAUUCACACUAUUGACUGUCACGCCUGUACGCUUUGUCAUAUUGACACAAAAAUUGACACACAUAUGUAUCUCAAUAAGAUCUACAAAAAAGUCAGUGCGGCUGUAUCUGUCAAAUGUACGGUUAAAGGGUUAUUCCGCAUUUUUUGCCGAUCCGCACACAUUGGAAUUUCGCUAACUCCUCCGAAGGCUUUCGUUCCACCGGCACCACAUUUGCUCAGGCCAAUCUACACCCCGUGGCCAUUAAAAGUUAUCAAAAUCAUGACGCUGCACCCCAAGGUUUAGGUUCUAGGGGGCGCCAAAGAUAACACUAAAAUCCACAUAUUUAAAAGUCUUAUAACUUUUUAUUUUUGUCCUCACUGGCCUCCAAGUUUUCUAGGAUGAUGCAAUGUCCAGCCAUCAACACAUUUGUGAAGGAAUUUUUACUCCCCAAAAGAGCGCCCCCCAUGGCAGAAGAAAAAAGUCCAUUUUUUCUUGUCCCCUAAGGUGAAAAUACACAUUGUUGAGUGUCACGCCUAUACGCUUUGUCAAAAUGACACAAAAAUUGACACACACAUGUAACUCAAUAAGAUCUACGAAAAAGUCAAUGCGCGCGUAUCUGUCAAAUGUACGGUUAAAGGGUUAUUCCGCAUUUUUUGCCGAUCCGCACACAUUGGAAUGUGGCUAACUCCUCCUAAGGCUUUUGUUCCACCGGCACCACAUUUGCUCAGGCCAAUCUACACCCCGUGGCCAUUAAAAGUUAUCAAAAUCAUGACGCUGCACCCCAAGGUUUAGGUUCUAGGGGGCGCCAAAGAUAACACUAAAAUCCACAUAUUUAAAAGUCUUAUAACUUUUUAUUUUUGUCCUCACUGGCCUCCAAGUUUUCUAGGAUGAUGCAAUGUCCAGCCAUCAACACAUUUGUGAAGGAAUUUUUACUCCCCAAAAGAGCGCCCCCCAUGGCAGAAGAAAAAAGUCCAUUUUUUCUUGUCCCCUAAGGUGAAAAUUCACACUAUUGACUGUCAGGCCUGUACGCUUUGUCAUAUUGACACAAAAAUUGACACACACAUGUAUCUCAAUAAGAUCUACGAAAAAGUCAAUGCCGCGUAUCUGUCAAAUGUACGGUUAAAGGGUUAUUUCGCAUUUUUUGCCGAUGCGCACACAUUGGAAUUUCGCUAACUCCUCCUAAGGCUUUCGUUCCACCGGCACCACAUUUGCUCAGGCCAAUCUACACCCCAUGGCCAUUGAAAGUUAUUCAAAUCAUGAUGCUGCACCCCACGGUUUAGGUUCUAGGGGGCGCCAAAUAUAACCCUAAAUCCACAUAUUUAAAAGUCUUAUAACUUUUUAUUUUUGUCCUCACUGGCCUCCAAGUUCUCUAGGAUGAUGCAAUGUCCAGCCAUCAACACAUUUGUGAAGGAAUUUUUACUCCCCAAAAGAGCGCCCCCCCAUGGCAGGAGAAAAAAGUCAAUUUUUUCUUGUCCCCUAAGGUGAAAAUACACAUUGUUGAGUGUCACGCCUGUACGCUUUGUCAUAUUGACACAAAAUUUGACAAUCACGUGUGUCUCAAUAACAUCUACGAAAAAGUCAAUGCACGCGUAUCUGUCAAAUGUACGGUUAAAGGGCUAUUUUGCAUUUUUUGCCGAUUCGCACACAUUGGAAUGUGGCUAACUCCUCCUAAGGCUUUCAUCCCACUGACACCAAAUUUGCUCAGGCCAAUCUACACCCAUGGCCAUUAAAAGUUGUAAAAGUCAUGACGGUGCACCCCACGGUUUACGUUCUAGGGGGCGCCAAAGAUGACCCAAAUAUCCACAUUCUUAAAAGAAUCCACAUCUCCCCCCAUCCCCCAUCCCCCAUGGCAGGAGAAACAGUCAAGUUUUUCCUGCCCAUCACUCAAUGGCUCAAUCGCAUCGCUCUCCCGGCAACACCGUAACGAGGAGCAACUUGCCGUUUGGAUAUAUCCUAGCUGUGUUUGUGCCCUCACUCAUGGUCCAGACUUUUUUCAAAUAGGAUAUGUAGUUUGUCUGCAGCGAGUGUUUUGGUAGAAACUGCGCCUCCCAUUCAUUAUAAUGGGAAAUGACCACAGACAAGUGCGCACACCAUCUUUGGACCUUGAGUGUGACGCGAUCGGGAGGGGGAGGCGGUCGCGCUGGGGGCGGCGCGACGCGGCUCGGGCCCGACAGUGCCCCACCGGGGCCCUAGUUCUUUCUUUCUUUCUUCUUUUUCCUCCCCUUUGAACUGGAAAAUGGCCCACUUCCCACUGGCGAAAACUCAUGAAAUUUGGCAGGACGACCGGGCCUGGUGAAAAAUUCGAUAUUCUGAAGUCGCCCAAACAAUAAAAUGCAAAAUGGCUCCAUAGCGCCCCCUAAGGUGGAAAUUCACACUAUUGACUGUCACGCCUGUACGCUUUGUCAUAUUGACACAAAAAUUGACACACAUAUGUAUCUCAAUAAGAUCUACAAAAAAGUCAGUGCGGCCGUAUCUGUCAAAAUUACGGUUAAAGGGUUAUUUCGCAUUUUUUGCCGAUCCGCACACAUUGGAAUUUCGCUAACUCCUCCGAAGGCUUUCGUUCCACCGGCACCACAUUUGCUCAGGCCAAUCUACACCCCGUGGCCAUUAAAAGUUAUCAAAAUCAUGACGCUGCACCCCAAGGUUUAGGUUCUAGGGGGCGCCAAAGAUAACACUAAAAUCCACAUAUUUAAAAGUCUUAUAACUUUUUAUUUUUGUCCUCACUGGCCUCCAAGUUUUCUAGGAUGAUGCAAUGUCCAGCCAUCAACACAUUUGUGAAGGAAUUUUUACUCCCCAAAAGAGCGCCCCCCCAUGGCAGGAGAAAAAAGUCCAUUUUUUCUUGUCCCCUAAGGUGAAAAUACACAUUGUUGAGUGUCACGCCUAUACGCUUUGUCAAAAUGACACAAAAAUUGACACACACAUGUAACUCAAUAAGAUCUACAAAAAAGUCCAUGCGCGCGUAUCUGUCAAAUGUACAGUUAAAGGGUUAUUCCGCAUUUUUUGCCGAUACGCACACAUUGGAAUUUCGCUAACUCCUCCGAAGGCUUUCGUUCCACCGGCACCACAUUUGCUCAGGCCAAUCUACACCCCAUGGCCAUUAAAAGUUAUUCAAAUCAUGAUGCUGCACCCCACGGUUUAGGUUCUAGGGGGCGCCAAAAAUAACCCAAAAAUCCACAUUCUUAAAUGUUUUAUAACUUUUUAUUUUUGUCCUCACUGGCCUCCAAGUUUUCUAGGAUGAUGCAAUGUCCAGCCAUCAACACAUUUGUGAAGGAAUUUUUACUCCCCAAAAGAGCGCCCCCCCAUGGCAGGAGAAAAAAGUCAAUUUUUUCUUGUCCCCUUACAUAAAAAUACACAUUGUUGAGUGUCACGCCUGAACGCUUUGUCAUAUUGACACAAAAAUUGACAAUCAUGUGUAUCUCAAUUAGAUCUACGAAAAAGUCAAAGAGCACGUAUCUGUAUAAUGUACGGUUAAAGGGCUAUUUUGCAUUUUUUGCCGAUUCGCACACAUUGGAAUGUGGCUAUCUCCUCCUAAGGCUUUCGUCCCACCGAUACCAAAUUUGCUCAGGGCAAUCUACCCCCCAUGCCCAUUCAAAGUUGUAAAAAUCAUGACGCUGCACCCCACGGUUUACGUUCUAGGGGGCGCCAAAGAUGACCCAAAAAUCCACAUUCUUAAAAGUCAUUUUGGCCACUGCAGGAGUACAGAGUACUGCAGUUCUAGGGGGCGCCAAAGAUGACCCAAAAAUCCACAUUCUUAAAAGUCUUUUUGGCCACUGCAGGAGAACAGAGUACUGCAGGAUACACACACAUAUACACACACGCCAACAUACACACACACACACACACACACACACACACACACACAGACACACACACACACACACUCAGAGUCUGUUUUUUAGCACCUGCAAAAACAUGCUGUUUACAUAUUUGACAAGAAUGCAGAGGCUUCCUUUUGCCCCUGAAAAAAAUCAAAUUUCAAACACAACUUGACUGUUCAUUUCUCCAAAAGACAACCAUGAAGCUCCAUUUCAAACCUGAAGCAGAUAGUUGGUGCAUGUGUACAGUAACCUGAGGGGAAUGAGGUGACUAUUUCUGAGGAGAACAUGAGCAGUGAAGAUUCACCUUGGAGCUAGAACAGGGACGUGCACAUGAUUAUACAGGGGCAGGGGCUCAAGUUUUUUCCAGUCAUUUAUACAAUAUGGAAAUUAAUGUGAAAUUAAACCACAAAUAUGUGUGAUGAACUGUUUUUAAAACUUAAACUUCAAAUAAAAAUUGUAAACUUCAAAACAUAUGCAAAUUUUUAACAAAGAACAUAGUAAUUUACCUCUAUUUACAUCAAAAUGCAGGCAAUGGCCCAGGCGUUCUUUGUAAAAUUAUUUACAAAACACUGUAUAGUCUCACAAAUGUCACUUUUUAUUUAUGCCACUACAAAAAAACAUGAUGUAAAUGAUGCAUGAUGUAAAACAUGAUGUAAAAAACUUGUGUAGAUCCUCUUCUAUGUCAGUCCAUGUGUAAUUUUUCCAUAAUUCUUUGUUUUUUGCAGCAUUUUUGUUAGUGUAACUGCAGAUUGUGCUGACAGUGUCUAUGGCACAAAAAAAAAAAAAAAAUUAAAAUGCCUCAACAUGAACCCCUGGUGGUCUCUGAGGGUGAAAGCUGCUAACUGCUGCAGCUCUGUCAGCUUCAGUCUCCCAUGCAGAGCUCUGAGCGCAUGUGUGGCUCUGCACCCUUAGCAGCGUUGCUAACUCCUCUGUAAGGAAAGCCUGCUUCAUGUCAGAGUCUCUAAACUCCAGAAGAAGUCGAUAAAAGUCCCUUUCUUUCUAAAAAAAAGUCGUUAGGGUGUCUGAAAAGUCAUUGAAUCUAACAACAAAGUCGCUAGGUUUGCAACUACGUGUCCCAGACUGCAUCCCUGCUGAGAGUCCCUCCCUCCCUUCUCAUGUUGCAGGAAGAACGUAAGCGCCCGCCCCUUGUCAAUCCGUCACCAUAUAAUUUUGGAUUGGUUGUUGUGGUGAAGUUUUCCACCAAUAGGAGAGAUGUUGUGGUGUGUUUUUUUUUUCUUUUGGCAAGCCUUUUCCGCCUGUAAGACCUGUCGCUAAUGUCUGCAUGCUAUGUUUUCCUGUCUCAUACAGCGCGAUCGAGCGCCGAACGUGAUCAAAAUAAGCAGAAAAAAAGUAUCGCGGACAUAAUUUAUCAUAACUCUGGUUUUAUUUGGCCUAUCAACACAAUUUAAAAACUGGUAUAUAGGUUGAGGUCCUCACUUUUGAGAUAAGUUGAAACGGAGAGUCAACGAGGCUCCGUCUUGCAGCUACAUCCGGUUAAAUAUGUCAUGUGAUUUGAACGCACACAUAGACACACACACACACACACACACACACACACACACACUCAGAGUCUGGUUUUUAGCACCUGCAAAAACAUGCUAUUUACAUAUUUGACAAGAAUGCAGAGGCUCCUUUUGCCCCUGAAAAAAAUCAAAUUUCAAACACAACUUGACUGGUCAUUUCUCCAAAAGACAACCAUGAAGCUCCAUCCAAACCUGAAGCAGGCAGUUGGUGCAUGUGUACAGUAGCCUGAGGGGAGUGAGGUGAGUGCUUCUGAGGAGAACAUGAGCAGUGAAGAUUCACCUUGGAGCUAGAACAGAGACAUGCACAUGAUUAUACAGGGGCAGGGGCUCAAGUUUUUUCCAGUCGUUUAUACAAUAUGGAAAUUAAUGUGAAAUUAAAACACAAAGUAUUAAGAGAAAGGUAAUGACUGUCCUGUGUAGGUGACAGUGAUAUCCAAUAGGCUAGGCACUCACGAGGCUGGCUGUGGCAAGUGUAAGUGAAAGCAACACGCACUGGCAGGAAGAACAGCAAACGCCGAUGAAGGAAAAGGGUCUUUGCAGUGAUGGGCGUUAACAGAGAGGGCGAUGGCCAGAGGACACAAAUGGGACGGGGAGGCAGCACAUUGGGGGGGGGGGGAGACACGACACGGCUCGGGCCCGCCAGUGCCCCAACGGGGUCCUAGUUAUUAUUUUUCCUCCCCUUUGAACUGGAAAAUGGCCCACUUCCCACUGGCGAAAACUCAUGAAAUUUGGCAGGACGACCGGGCCUGGUGAAAAAUUUGAUAUUCCGAAGUCGCCCAAACAAGAAAAUGCAAAAUGGCUCCAUAGCGCCCCCUAAGGUGAAAAAUUCACUUGACGCCUGUACGCUUUGUCAAAAUGACACAAAAAUUGACACACACAUGUAUCUCAAUAAGAUCUACAAAAAAGUCAGUGCGGGCGUAUCUGUCAAAUGUACGGUUAAAGGGUUAUUGCGCAUUUUUUGCCGAUCCGCACACAUUGGAAUUUCGCUAACUCCUCCGAAGGCUUUCGUUCCACCGGCACCACAUUUGCUCAGGCCAAUCUACACCCCAUGGCCAUUAAAAGUUAUUCAAAUCAUGACGCUGCACCCCACGGUUUAGGUUCUAGGGGGCGCCAAAGAUAACACUAAAAUCCACAUAUUUCAAAGUCUUAUAACUUUUUAUUUUUGUCCUCACUGGCCUCCAAGUUUUCUAGGAUGAUGCAAUGUCCAGCCAUCAACACAUUUGUGAAGGAAUUUUUACUCCCCAAAAGAGCGCCCCCCCAUGGCAGGAGAAAAAAGUCCAUUUUUUCUUGUCCCCUAAGGUGAAAAUACACAUUGUUGACUGUCACGCCUGUACGCUUUGGCAAAAUGACACAAAAAUUGACAAUCAUGUGUAUCUCAAUUAGAUCUACGAAAAAGUCAAGAGCGCGUAUCUGUAUAAUGUACGGUAAAAGGGCUAUUUUGCAUUUUUUGCCGAUUCGCACAUAUUGGAAUUUCGCUAACUCCUCCUAAGGCUUUCGUCCCACUGACACCAAAUUUGCUCAGGCCAAUCUACACUCCAUGGCCAUUCAAAGUUGUAAAAAUCAUGACGCGGCACCCCACGGUUUACGUUUUAGGGGGCGCCAAAGAUGACCCAAAUAUACAUUACAGUAGACAAAGUAGUUUUGCCCACUGAGUGGCGCCAAAGGGACUUGUCUGUGGAGUCUGUGAGUCACUAUUGGCCGUUUUUGACUACUUUAGAUUUUACCUUUAUAUUUCCUCUUACAAAAUUUUUACCUUGCCUUGCCUGGUAUCAUUUUUUUCAGCACAACCUCACCUGUGUCAAUUUACAGUUAUUUUAUCAUUUUGACAUACUAUAUUUACACAUUGGACCCAAAUUCACACACAAAACAUAAAAUCCGAGUGGAAAAAAGUAACGUUUUUACUGUGAAAACCACAAAUAUGUGUGAUGAACUGUUUUUAAAACUUAAACUUCAAAUAAAAAUUGUAAACUUCAAAACAUAUGCAAAUUUUUAACAAAGAACAUAGUAAUUUACCUCUAUUUACAUCAAAAUGCAGGCAAUGGCCCAGGUGUUCUUUGUAAAAUUAUUUACAAAACACUGUAUAGUCUCACAAAUGUCACUUUUUAUUUAUGCCACUACAAAAAAACAUGAUGUAAAUGAUGCAUGAUGUAAAACAUGAUGUAAAAAACUUGUGUAGAUCCUCCUCUAUGUCAGUCCAUGUGUAAUUUUUCCAUAAUUCUUUGUUUUUUGCAGCAUUUUUGUUAGUGUAACUGCAGAUUGUGCUGACAGUGUCUAUGGCAAAAAAAAAAAAAAAAACUGAAAAUGCCUCAACAUGAACCCCUGGUGGUCUCUGAGGGUGAAACCUGCUAACUGCUGCAGCUCUGUCAGCUUCAGUCUCCCAUGCAGAGCUCGGAGCGCAUGUGUGGCUCUGCACCCUUAGCAGCGUUGCUAACUCCUCAGUAAGGAAAGCCUGCUUCAUGUCAGAGUCUCUAAACUCCAGAAGAAGUCGAUAAAAGUCACUUUCUUUCUAAAAAAACGUCGUUAGGGGGUCUGAAAAGUCAUUGAAUCUAACAACAAAGUCGCUAGGUUUGCAACUACGUGUCCCAGACUGCAUCCCUGCUGAGAGUCCCUCCCUCCCUUCUCAUAUUGCAGGAAGAACGUAAGCGCCCGCCCCUUGUCAAUCAGUCACCAUAUAAUUUUGGAUUGGUUGUUGUGGUGAAGUUUUCCACCAAUAGGAGAGAUGUUGUGGUGUGUUUUUUUUUUCCUUUGGCAAGCCUUUUCCGCCUGUAAGACCUGUCGCUAAUGUCUGCAUGCUAUGUUUUCCUGUCUCAUACAGCGCGAUCGAGCGCCGAACGUGAUCAAAAUAAGCAGAAAACAAGUAUCGCGGACAUAAUUUAUCAUAACUCUGGUUUUAUUUGGCCUAUCAACACAAUUUAAAAACUGGUAUAUAGGUUGAGGUCCUCACUUUUGAGAUAAGUUGAAACGGAGGGUCAACGAGGCUCCGUCUUGCAGCUACAUCCGGUUAAAUAUGUCAUGUGACUUGAACGCACACACACACACACACACACACACACACACACACACACACACACACACACACACACACACACACACUCAGAGUCUGGUUUUUAGCACCUGCAAAAACAUGCUAUUUACAUAUUUGACAAGAAUGCAGAGGCUCCUUUUGCCCCUGAAAAAAAUCAAAUUUCAAACACAACUUGACUGGUCAUUUCUCCAAAAGACAACCAUGAAGCUCCAUCCAAACCUGAAGCAGGCAGUUGGUGCAUGUGUACAGUAACCUGAGGGGAGUGAGGUGACUGCUUCUGAGGAGAACAUGAGCAGUGAAGAUUCAGCUUAGAGCUAGAACAGAGACGUGCACAUGAUUAUACAGGGGCAGGGGCUCAAGUUUUUUCCAGUUGUUUAUACAAUAUGGAAAUUAAUGUGAAAUUAAAAAACAAAGUAUUAAUAGAAAGGUAAUGACUGUCCUGAGUAGGUGACAGUGAUAUCCAAUAGGCUAGGCACUCAAGAGGCUGGCUGUGGCAAGUGUAAGUGAAAGCAACACGCACUGGCAGGAAGAACAGCAAACGCCGAUGAAGGAAAAGGGUCUUUGCAGUGAUGGGCGUUACAUGAGAGGACGAUGGCCAGAGGACACAAAUGGGACGGGGAGGCAGCGCGUUGGGGGGGGGACGCGACACAGCUCGGGCCCGCCAGUGCCCCAACGGGGUCCUAGUUAGGGCCCGAGCGUAGCUGCUAAGCAGCUGCGAGAGCCCUCUUGUUCCUGUAGUUUCCUUUUUUAGGGCCCGAGCGUAGCUGCUAAGCAGCUGCGAGAGCCCUCUUGUUCCUGCAUGUUUCCUUCUUUUGUUAUUAUUAGGGCCCGAGCGUAGCUGCUAAGCAGCUGCGAGAGCCCUCUUGUUCCUGCAUGUUUCCUUCUUUCGUUAUUAUUUUUCCUCCGCUUCAAACUGGAAAAUGGCCCACUUCCCACUGGCGAAAACUCAGGACAUUUGGCAGGACGACCGGGCCUGGUGAAAAAUUCGAUAUUCUGAAGUCGCCCAAACAAUAAAAUGCAAAAUGGCUCCAUAGCGCCCCCUAAGGUGAAAAUUCACAUGACGGCUGUACGCUUUGUCAUAUUGACACAAAAAUUGACACACACAUGUAUCUCAAUAAGAUCUACAAAAAAGUCAGUGCGGGCGUAUCUGUCAAAUGUACGGUUAAUGGGUUAUUUUGCAUUUUUUGCAGAUCUGCACACAUUGGAAUUUCGCUAACUCCUCCGAAGGCUUUCGUUCGACCGGCACCACAUUUGCGCAGGCCAAUCUACCCCCCAUGGCCAUUAAAAGUUGUACAAAUCAUGACGCUGCACCCCACGGUUUACGUUCUAGGGGGCGCCAAAGAUAACCCAAAAAUCCACAUUCUUAAAAGUCAUAACUUUUUACAUUUGUCCUCACUGGCCUCCAAGUUUUCUAGGUGGAUGCAAUGUCCAGCCAUCAACACAUUUGUGAAGGAAUUUUUACUCGCCAAAAGAGCGCCCCCCAUGGCAGGAGAAAAAAGUCCAUUUUUUCUUGUCCCGUAAGGCGAAUAUACACAUUGUUGAGUGUCACGCCUGUACGCUUUGUCAUAUUGACACAAAAAUUAACACACACAUGUAUCUCAAUAAGAUCUACGAAAAAGUCAAUGUGCGCGUAUCUGUAAAAUGUACAGUUAAAGGGCUAUUUCGCAUUUUUUGCCGAUUCGCACACAUUGGAAUGUGGCUAACUCCUCCUAAAGCUUUCGUCCCAUCGGCACCAAAUUUGCUCAGGCCAAUCUACACCCCAUGGCCAUUAAAAGUUGUACAAAUCAUGACGCUGCACCCCACGGUUUAAGUUCUAGGGGGCGCCAAAGAUAACCCAAAAAUCCACAUUCUUAAAAGUCUUAUAACUUUUUAUUUUUGUCCUCACUGGCCUCCAAGUUCUCUAGGAUGAUGCAAUGUCCAGCAAUUAACACAUUUGUGAAGGAAUUUUUACUCGCCAAAAGAGCGCCCCCCCAUGGCAGGAGAAAAAAGUCCAUUUUUUUCUUGUCCCCUAAGGCGAAUAUACACAUUGUUGAGUGUCACGCCUGUACGCUUUGUCAUAUUGACACAAAAUUUGGCAAUCACUUGUAUCUCAAUAAGAUCUACGAAAAAGUCAAUGUGCACGUAUCUGUAAAAUGUACGGUUAAAGGGCUAUUUCGCAUUUUUUGCCGAUUCGCACACAUUGGAAUGUGGCUAACUCCUCCUAAGGCUUUCGUUCCACUGACACCAAAUUUGCUCAGGCCAAUCUACACCCCAUGGCCAUUCAAAGUUGUAAAAAUCAUGACGCUGCACCCCACGGUUUACGUUCUAGGGGGCGCCAAAGAGGACCCAAAUAUCCACAUUUUUAAAAGUCUUAUAACUUUAUUUUUGUCCUCACUGGCCUCCAAGUUUUCUAGGAUGAUGCAAUGUUCAGUCAUCAACACAUUUGUGAAGGAAUUUUUUCUCCCCAAAAGAGCGCCCUCCCACGGCAGGAGAAAAAGUCAAGUUUUUCCUGCCCAUCGCUCAAUGGCUCAAACGCAUCGCUCUCUCGGCAAAACCGAAAGGAGGAGCACCUUGCCAUUUGGAUAUAUACUAGCUGUCUUUGUGCCCUCACUCAUGGUCCAGACUUUUUUCAAAAAGGACAUGGAGUUUGUCUGCAGCGAGCGUUUUGGUAGAAACUGCGCCUCCCAUUCAUUAUAAUGGUAAAUGACCACAGACAAGUGCGCACACCAUCUUUGGACCUUGAGUGUGACGCGAUCGGGAGGGGUAGGCGGUCGCGCUGGGGGCGGCGCGACACGGCUCGGGCCCACCAGUGCCCCAACGGGGCCCUAGUUAUUUUUCCUCCCCUUUGAACUGGAAAAUGGCCCACUUCCCACUGGCGAAAACUCAUGAAAUUUGGCAGGACGACCGGGCCUGGUGAAAAAUUUGAUAUUCCGAAGUCGCCCAAACAAGAAAAUGCAAAAUGGCUCCAUAGCGCCCCCUAAGGUAAAAAAUUCACCUGACGCCUGUACGCUUUGUCAAAAUGACACAAAAAUUGACACACACAUGUAUCUCAAUAAGAUCUACAAAAAAGUCAGUGCGGGCGUAUCUGUCAAAUGUACGGUUAAAGGGUUAUUGCGCAUUUUUUGCCGAUCCGCACACAUUGGAAUUUCGCUAACUCCUCCGAAGGCUUUCGUUCCACCGGCACCACAUUUGCUCAGGCCAAUCUACACCCCAUGGCCAUUAAAAGUUAUUCAAAUCAUGACGCUGCACCCCACGGUUUAGGUUCUAGGGGGCGCCAAAGAUAACCCUAAAAUCCACAAAUUUCAAAGUCUUAUAACUUUUUAUUUUUGCCCUCACUGGCCUCCAAGUUUUCUAGGAUGAUGCAAUGUCCAGCCAUCAACACAUUUGUGAAGGAAUUUUUACUCCCCAAAAGAGCGCCCCCCCAUGGCAGGAGAAAAAAGUCCAUUUUUUCUUGUCCCAUAAGGUGAAAAAUUACACUAUUGACUGUCACGCCUGUACGCUUUGUCAAAAUGACACAAAAAUUGACACACACAUGUAUCUCAAUAAGAUCUACAAAAAAGUCAGUGCUAGCGUAUCUGUCAAAUGUACGGUUAAAGGGUUAUUGCGCAUUUUUUGCCGAUCCGCACACAUUGGAAUUUCGCUAACUCCUCCGAAGGCUUUCGUUCCACCGGCACCACAUUUGCUCAGGCCAAUCUACACCCCAUGGCCAUUAAAAGUUAUUCAAAUCAUGACGCUGCACCCCACGGUUUAGGUUCUAGGGGGCGCCAAAGAUAACCCUAAAAUCCACAUAUUUAAAAGUCUUAUAACUUUUUAUUUUUGUCCUCUCUGGCCUCCAAGUUUUCUAGGAUGAUGCAAUGUCCAGCCAUCAACACAUUUGUGAAGGAAUUUUUACUCGCCAAAAGAGCGCCCCCCCAUGGCAGGAGAAAAAAGUCCAUUUUUUCUUGUCCCAUAAGGUGAAAAUACACAUUGUUGACUGUCAUACCUGUAUGCUUUGUCAUAUUGACACAAAAUUUGACACACACAUGUAUCUCAAUAAGAUCUACGAAAAAGUCAAUGCGCGCGUAUCUGUAAAAUGUACGGUUAAAGGGCUAUUUUGCAUUUUUUGCCGAUUAGCACACAUUGGAAUGUGGCUAACUCCUCCUAAGGCUUUCGUCCCACUGACACCAAAUUUGCUCAGGCCAAUCUACACCCCAUGGCCAUUCAAAGUUUUAAAAAUCAUGAUGCUGCACCCCACGGUUUACGUUCUAGGGGGCGCCAAAGAUGACCCAAAUAUCCACAUUCUUAAAAGAAUCCACAUCGCCCCCCCCCCCCCCCAUCCCCCAUCCCCCAUCCCCCAUGGCAGGAGAAACAGUCAAGUUUUUCCUGCCCAUCACUCAAUGGCUCAAUCGCAUCGCUCUCCCGGCAACACCGUAACGAGGAGCAACUUGCCGUUUGGAUAUAUCCUAGCUGUGUUUGUGCCCUCACUCAUGGUCCAGACUUUUUUCAAAUAGGACAUGUAGUUUGUCUGCAGCGAGUGUUUUGGUAGAAACUGCGCCUCCCAUUCAUUAUAAUGGGAAAUGACCACAGACAAGUGCGCACACCAUCUUUGGACCUUGAGUGUGACGCGAUCGGGAGGGGGAGGCGGUCGCACUGGGGGCGGCGCAACGUGGCUCGGGCCCGCCAGUGCCCCAACGGGGCCCUAGUUAGGGCCCGAGCGUAGCUGCUAAGCAGCUGCGAGAGCCCUAUUAUUCCCCAAGUGGUUUUUCUUUGUUUCUUUCUUUCUUCUUUUUCCUCCCCUUUGAACUGGAAAAUGGCCCACUUCCCACUGGCGAAAACUCAUGAAAUUUGGCAGGAUGACCGGGCCUGGUGAAAAAUUUGAUAUUCCGAAGUCGCCCAAACAAGAAAAUGCAAAAUGGCUCCAUAGCGCCCCCUAAGGUGAAAAUUCACACUAUUGACUGUCACGCCUUUAUGCUUUGUCAAAAUGACACAAAAAUUGACACACAUAUGUAUCUCAAUAAGAUCUACAAAAAAGUCAGUGCGGGCGUAUCUGUCAAAUGUACGGUUAAAGGGUUAUUCCGCAUUUUUUGCCGAUCCGCACACAUUGGAAUUUCGCUAACUCCUCCGAAGGCUUUCUUUCCACCGGCACCACAUUUGCUCAGGCCAAUCUACACCCCAUGGCCAUUAAAAAUUAUUCAAAUCAUGACGCUGCACCCCACGGUUUAGGUUCUAGGGGGCGCCAAAGAUAACCCUAAAAUCCACAAAUUUCAAAGUCUUAUAACUUUUUAUUUUUGCCCUCACUGGCCUCCAAGUUUUCUAGGAUGAUGCAAUGUCCAGCCAUCAACACAUUUGUGAAGGAAUUUUUACUCCCCAAAAGAGCGCCCCCCCAUGGCCGGAGAAAAAAGUCCAUUUUUUCUUGUCCCUUAAGGUGAAAAUACACAUUGUUGAGUGUCACGCCUGUACGCUUUGUCAUAUUGACACAAAAUUUGACACACACAUGUAUCUCAAUAAGAUCUACGAAAAAGUCAAUGCGUGCGUAUCUGUCAAAUGUACGGUUAAAGGGUUAUUCCGCAUUUUUUGCUGAUCCGCACACAUUGGAAUUUCGCUAACUCCUCCGAAGGCUUUCGUUCCACCGGCACCACAUUUGCUCAGGCCAAUCUACACCCCAUGGCCAUUAAAAGUUAUUCAAAUCAUGACGCUGCACCCCACGGUUUAGGUUCUAGGGGGCGCCAAAGAUAACACUAAAAUCCACAUAUUUAAAAGUCUUAUAACUUUUUAUUUUUUGCCCUCACUGGCCUCCAAGUUUUCUAGGAUGAUGCAAUGUCCAGCCAUCAACACAUUUGUUGAGGAAUUUUUACUCCCCAAAAGAGCGCCCCCCAUGGCAGGAGAAAAAAGUCCAUUUUUUCUUGUCCCCUAAGGUGAAAAUACACAUUGUUGAGUGUCACGCCUGUACGCUUUGUCAAAAUGACACAAAAAUUGACACACACAUGUAUCUCAAUAAGAUCUACAAAAAAGUCAAAGCGCGCGUAUCUGUCAAAUGUACGGUUAAAGGGUUAUUCCGCAUUUUUUGCCGAUCCGCACACAUUGGAAUUUCGCUAACUCCUCCGAAGGCUUUCGUUCCACCGGCACCACAUUUGCUCAGGCCAAUCUACACCCCGUGGCCAUUAAAAGUUAUUCAAAUCAUGACGCUGCACCCCACGGUUUAGGUUCUAGGGGGAGCCAAAGAUAACCGUAAAAUCCACAUAUUUAAAAGUCUUAUAACUUUUUAUUUUUGUCCCCACUGGCCUCCAAGUUUUCUAGGAUGAUGCAAUGUCCAGCCAUCAACACAUUUGUGAAGGAAUUUUUACUCCCCAAAAGAGCGCCCCCCCAUGGCAGGAGAAAAAAGUCAAUUUUUUCUUGUCCACUAAGGUGAAAAUACACAUUGUUGAGUGCUACGCCUGUAUGUUUUGUCGUAUUGACACAAAAUUUUACAUACACGUGUAUUUACAUAAGAUCUUCGAAAAAGUCAAUGGCCACGUAUCUGUAAAAUGUACGGUUAAAGGGUUAUUUCGCAUUUUUUGCAGAUUCGCACACAUUGGAAUUUCGCUAAUUCCUCCGAAGGCUUUCGUUCCACCGGCACCACAUUUGCUCAGGCCAAUCUACACCCCAUGGCCAUUAAAAGUUAUUCAAAUCAUGACGCUGCACCCCACGGUUUAGGUUCUAGGGGGCGCCAAAUAUAACCCUAAAAUCCACAUAUUUAAAAGUCUUAUAACUUUUUAUUUUUGUCCUCACUGGCCUCCAUGUUUUCUAGGAUGAUGCAAUGUCCAGCCAUCAACACAUUUGUGAAGGAGUUUUUUCUCUUUAAAAGAGCGCCCCCCCAUGGCAGGAGAAUAAAGUCAAGUUUUUCCUGUUCAUCAUUCAAUGGCUCAAACGCACUGCUCUCUCGGCAAAAGCGAAAGGAGGAGCAACUUGCCAUUUGGAUAUAUCUUAGCUGUGUUUGUGCCCUCACUCAUGGUCCAGACUUUUUUCAAAUAGGACAUGGAGUUUUUCUGCAGCGAGCGUUUUGGUAGAAACUGCGCCUCCCGUUCAUUAUAAUGGUAAAUGACCACAAACAAGUGCGCACACCAUCUUUGGACCUUGAGUGUGACGCGAUCGGGUGAGGGAGGCGGUCGCGCUGGGGGCGGCGUGACACGGCUCGGGCCCGCCAGUGCCCCAACGGGGCCCUAGUUAUUAUUUUUCCUCCCCUUUGAACUGGAAAAUGGCCCACUUCCCACUGGCGAAAACUCAUGAAAUUUGGCAGGACGACCGGGCCUGGUGAAAAAUUUGAUAUUCCGAAGUCGCCCAAACAAGAAAAUGCAAAAUGGCUCCAUAGCGCCCCCUAAGGUGAAAAUUCACACUAUUGACUGUCACGCCUGUACGCUUUGUCAAAAUGACACAAAAAUUGACACACACAUGUAUCUCAAUAAGAUCUACAAAAAAGUCAGUGCGGGCGUAUCUGUCAAAUGUACGGUUAAAGGGUUAUUUCGCAUUUUUUGCCGAUCCGCACACAUUGGAAUUUCGCUAACUCCUCCGAAGGCUUUCGUUCCACCGGCACCACAUUUGCUCAGGCCAAUCUACACCCCAUGGCCAUUAAAAGUUAUUCAAAUCAUGACGCUGCACCCCACGGUUUAGGUUCUAGGGGGCGCCAAAGAUAACCCUAAGAUCCACAUAUUUAAAAGUCUUAUAACUUUUUAUUUUUGCCCUCACUGGCCUCCAAGUUUUCUAGGAUGAUGCAAUGUCCAGCCAUCAACACAUUUGUGAAGGAAUUUUUACUCCCCAAAAGAGCGCCCCCCAUGGCAGGAGAAAAAAGUCCAUUUUUUCUUGUCCCCUAAGGUGAAAAUACACAUUGUUGAGUGUAACACCUGUACGCUUUGGCAAAAUGACACCAAAAUUGAGACACACAUGUAUCUCAAUAAGAUCUACAAAAAAGUCAAUGCGCACGUAUCUGUCAAAUGUACGGUUAAAGGGUUAUUCCGCAUUUUUUGCCGAUCCGCACACAUUGGAAUUUCGCUAACUCCUCCGAAGGCUUUCGUUCCACCGGCACCACAUUUUCUCAGGCCAAUCUACACCCCAUGGCCAUAAAAAGUUAUUCAAAUCAUGACGCUGCACCCCACGGUUUAGGUUCUAGGGGGCGCCAAAGAUAACCGUAAAAUCCACAUAUUUAAAAGUCUUAUAACUUUUUAUUUUUGUCCCCACUGGCCUCCAAGUUUUCUAGGAUGAUGCAAUGUCCAGCCAUCAACACAUUUGUGAAGGAAUUUUUACUCGCCAAAAGAGCGCCCCCCCAUGGCAGGAGAAAAAAGUCCAUUUUUUCUUGUCCCCUAAGGUGAAAAUACACAUUGUUGAGUGUAACACCUGUACGCUUUGGCAAAAUGACACAAAAAUUGACACACACAUGUAUCUCAAUAAGAUCUACGAAAAAGACAGUGCGCGCGUAUCUGUCAAAUGUACGGUUAAAGGGUUAUUCCGCACUUUUUGCCGAUCCGCACACAUUGGAAUUUCGCUAACUCCUCCGAAGGCUUUCGUUCCACCGGCACCACAUUUGCUCAGGCCAAUCUACACCCCAUGGCCAUUAAAAGUUAUUCAAAUCAUGACGCUGCACCCCACGGUUUAGGUUCUAGGGGGCGCCAAAGAUAACCCUAAAAUCCACAAAUUUCAAAGUCUUAUAACUUUUUAUUUUUGUCCCCACUGGCCUCCAAGUUUUCUAGGAUGAUGCAAUGUCCAGCCAUCAACACAUUUGUGAAGGAAUUUUUACUCGCCAAAAGAGCGCCCCCCCCAUGGCAGGAGAAAAAAGUCCAUUUUUUCUUGUCCCCUAAGGUGAAAAUACACAUUGUUGAGUGUAACACCUGUACGCUUUGGCAAAAUGACACAAAAAUUGACACACACAUGUAUCUCAAUAAGAUCUACGAAAAAGACAGUGCGCGCGUAUCUGUCAAAUGUACGGUUAAAGGGUUAUUCCGCACUUUUUGCCGAUCCGCACACAUUGGAAUUUCGCUAACUCCUCCGAAGGCUUUCGUUCCACCGGCACCACAUUUGCUCAGGCCAAUCUACACCCCAUGGCCAUUAAAAGUUAUUCAAAUCAUGACGCUGCACCCCACGGUUUAGGUUCUAGGGGGCGCCAAAGAUAACCCUAAAAUCCACAAAUUUCAAAGUCUUAUAACUUUUUAUUUUUGCCCUCACUGGCCUCCAAGUUUUCUAGGAUGAUGCAAUGUCCAGCCAUCAACACAUUUGUGAAGGAAUUUUUACUCCCCAAAAGAGCGCCCCCCCAUGGCAGGAGAAAAAAGUCCAUUUUUUCUUGUCCCAUAAGGUGAAAAAUUACACUAUUGACUGUCACGCCUGUACGCUUUGUCAAAAUUACACAAAAAUUGACACACACAUGUAUCUCAAUAAGAUCUACAAAAAAGUCAGUGCUAGCGUAUCUGUCAAAUGUACGGUUAAAGGGUUAUUGCGCAUUUUUUGCCGAUCCGCACACAUUGGAAUUUCGCUAACUCCUCCGAAGGCUUUCGUUCCACCGGCACCACAUUUGCUCAGGCCAAUCUACACCCCAUGGCCAUUAAAAGUUAUUCAAAUCAUGACGCUGCACCCCACGGUUUAGGUUCUAGGGGGCGCCAAAGAUAACCCUAAAAUCCACAUAUUUAAAAGUCUUAUAACUUUUUAUUUUUGUCCUCUCUGGCCUCCAAGUUUUCUAGGAUGAUGCAAUGUCCAGCCAUCAACACAUUUGUGAAGGAAUUUUUACUCGCCAAAAGAGCGCCCCCCCAUGGCAGGAGAAAAAAGUCCAUUUUUUCUUGUCCCAUAAGGUGAAAAUACACAUUGUUGACUGUCAUACCUGUAUGCUUUGUCAUAUUGACACAAAAUUUGACACACACAUGUAUCUCAAUAAGAUCUACGAAAAAGUCAAUGCGCGCGUAUCUGUAAAAUGUACGGUUAAAGGGCUAUUUUGCAUUUUUUGCCGAUUAGCACACAUUGGAAUGUGGCUAACUCCUCCUAAGGCUUUCGUCCCACUGACACCAAAUUUGCUCAGGCCAAUCUACACCCCAUGGCCAUUCAAAGUUUUAAAAAUCAUGAUGCUGCACCCCACGGUUUACGUUCUAGGGGGCGCCAAAGAUGACCCAAAUAUCCACAUUCUUAAAAGAAUCCACAUCGCCCCCCCCCCCCCCAUCCCCCAUCCCCCAUCCCCCAUGGCAGGAGAAACAGUCAAGUUUUUCCUGCCCAUCACUCAAUGGCUCAAUCGCAUCGCUCUCCUGGCAACACCGUAACGAGGAGCAACUUGCCGUUUGGAUAUAUCCUAGCUGUGUUUGUGCCCUCACUCAUGGUCCAGACUUUUUUCAAAUAGGACAUGUAGUUUGUCUGCAGCGAGUGUUUUGGUAGAAACUGCGCCUCCCAUUCAUUAUAAUGGGAAAUGACCACAGACAAGUGCGCACACCAUCUUUGGACCUUGAGUGUGACGCGAUCGGGAGGGGGAGGCGGUCGCACUGGGGGCGGCGCAACGCGGCUCGGGCCCGCCAGUGCCCCAACGGGGCCCUAGUUAGGGCCCGAGCGUAGCUGCUAAGCAGCUGCGAGAGCCCUAUUAUUCCCCAAGUGGUUUUUCUUUGUUUCUUUCUUUCUUCUUUUUCCUCCCCUUUGAACUGGAAAAUGGCCCACUUCCCACUGGCGAAAACUCAUGAAAUUUGGCAGGAUGACCGGGCCUGGUGAAAAAUUUGAUAUUCCGAAGUCGCCCAAACAAGAAAAUGCAAAAUGGCUCCAUAGCGCCCCCUAAGGUGAAAAUUCACACUAUUGACUGUCACGCCUUUAUGCUUUGUCAAAAUGACACAAAAAUUGACACACAUAUGUAUCUCAAUAAGAUCUACAAAAAAGUCAGUGCGGGCGUAUCUGUCAAAUGUACGGUUAAAGGGUUAUUCCGCAUUUUUUGCCGAUCCGCACACAUUGGAAUUUCGCUAACUCCUCCGAAGGCUUUCUUUCCACCGGCACCACAUUUGCUCAGGCCAAUCUACACCCCAUGGCCAUUAAAAAUUAUUCAAAUCAUGACGCUGCACCCCACGGUUUAGGUUCUAGGGGGCGCCAAAGAUAACCCUAAAAUCCACAAAUUUCAAAGUCUUAUAACUUUUUAUUUUUGCCCUCACUGGCCUCCAAGUUUUCUAGGAUGAUGCAAUGUCCAGCCAUCAACACAUUUGUGAAGGAAUUUUUACUCCCCAAAAGAGCGCCCCCCCAUGGCCGGAGAAAAAAGUCCAUUUUUUCUUGUCCCUUAAGGUGAAAAUACACAUUGUUGAGUGUCACGCCUGUACGCUUUGUCAUAUUGACACAAAAUUUGACACACACAUGUAUCUCAAUAAGAUCUACGAAAAAGUCAAUGCGUGCGUAUCUGUCAAAUGUACGGUUAAAGGGUUAUUCCGCAUUUUUUGCUGAUCCGCACACAUUGGAAUUUCGCUAACUCCUCCGAAGGCUUUCGUUCCACCGGCACCACAUUUGCUCAGGCCAAUCUACACCCCAUGGCCAUUAAAAGUUAUUCAAAUCAUGACGCUGCACCCCACGGUUUAGGUUCUAGGGGGCGCCAAAGAUAACACUAAAAUCCACAUAUUUAAAAGUCUUAUAACUUUUUAUUUUUUGCCCUCACUGGCCUCCAAGUUUUCUAGGAUGAUGCAAUGUCCAGCCAUCAACACAUUUGUUGAGGAAUUUUUACUCCCCAAAAGAGCGCCCCCCCAUGGCAGGAGAAAAAAGUCCAUUUUUUCUUGUCCCCUAAGGUGAAAAUACACAUUGUUGAGUGUCACGCCUGUACGCUUUGUCAAAAUGACACAAAAAUUGACACACACAUGUAUCUCAAUAAGAUCUACAAAAAAGUCAAAGCGCGCGUAUCUGUCAAAUGUACGGUUAAAGGGUUAUUCCGCAUUUUUUGCCGAUCCGCACACAUUGGAAUUUCGCUAACUCCUCCGAAGGCUUUCGUUCCACCGGCACCACAUUUGCUCAGGCCAAUCUACACCCCAUGGCCAUUAAAAGUUAUUCAAAUCAUGACGCUGCACCCCACGGUUUACGUUCUAGGGGGCGCCAAAGAUAACCCAAAAAUCCACAUUUUUAAAAGUCUUAUAACUUUUUAUUUUUGUCCUCACUGGCCUCCAAGUUUUCUAGGAUGAUGCAAUGUCCAGCCAUCAACACAUUUGUGAAGGAAUUUUUACUCCCUAAAAGAGCGCCCCCCCAUGGCAGGAGAAAAAAGUCCAUUUUUUCUUGUCCCCUAAGGUGAAAAUACACAUUGUUGACUGUCACGCCUGAACGCUUUGGCAAAAUGACACAAAAAUUGACAAUCAUGUGUAUCUCAAUUAGAUCUACGAAAAAGUCAAAGAGCGCGUAUCUGUAUAAUGUACGGUAAAAGGGCUAUAUUGCAUUUUUUGCCGAUUCGCACACAUUGGAAUUUCGCUAACUCCUCCUAAGGCUUUCGUCCCACUGACACCAAAUUUGCUCAGGCCAAUCUACACUCCAUGGCCAUUCAAAGUUGUAAAAAUCAUGACGCUGCACCCCACGGUUUACGUUUUAGGGGGCGCCAAAGAUGACCCAAAUAUACAUUACAGUAGACAAAGUAGUUUUGCCCACUGAGUGGCGCCAAAGGGACUUGUCUGUGGAGUCUGUGAGUCACUAUUGGCCGUUUUUGACUACUUUAGAUUUUACCUUUAUAUUUCCUCUUACAAAAUUUUUACCUUGCCUUGCCUGGUAUCAUUUUUUUCAGCACAACCUCACCUGUGUCAAUUUACAGUUAUUUUAUCAUUUUGACAUACUAUAUUUACACAUUGGACCCAAAUUCACACACAAAACAUAAAAUCCGAGUGGAAAAAAGUAACGUUUUUACUGUGAAAACCACAAAUAUGUGUGAUGAACUGUUUUUAAAACUUAAACUUCAAAUAAAAAUUGUAAACUUCAAAACAUAUGCAAAUUUUUAACAAAGAACAUAGUAAUUUACCUCUAUUUACAUCAAAAUGCAGGCAAUGGCCCAGGUGUUCUUUGUAAAAUUAUUUACAAAACACUGUAUAGUCUCACAAAUGUCACUUUUUAUUUAUGCCACUACAAAAAAACAUGAUGUAAAUGAUGCAUGAUGUAAAACAUGAUGUAAAAAACUUGUGUAGAUCCUCCUCUAUGUUAGUCCAUGUGUAAUUUUUCCAUAAUUCUUUGUUUUUUGCAGCAUUUUUGUUAGUGUAACUGCAGAUUGUGCUGACAGUGUCUAUGGCAAAAAAAAAAAAAAACAACUGAAAAUGCCUCAACAUGAACCCCUGGUGGUCUCUGAGGGUGAAACCUGCUAACUGCUGCAGCUCUGUCAGCUUCAGUCUCCCAUGCAGAGCUCGGAGCGCAUGUGUGGCUCUGCACCCUUAGCAGCGUUGCUAACUCCUCAGUAAGGAAAGCCUGCUUCAUGUCAGAGUCUCUAAACUCCAGAAGAAGUCGAUAAAAGUCACUUUCUUUCUAAAAAAAAGUCGUUAGGGGGUCUGAAAAGUCAUUGAAUCUAACAACAAAGUCGCUAGGUUUGCAACUACGUGUCCCAGACUGCAUCCCUGCUGAGAGUCCCUCCCUCCCUUCUCAUAUUGCAGGAAGAACGUAAGCGCCCGCCCCUUGUCAAUCAGUCACCAUAUAAUUUUGGAUUGGUUGUUGUGGUGAAGUUUUCCACCAAUAGGAGAGAUGUUGUGGUGUGUUUUUUUUUUCCUUUGGCAAGCCUUUUCCGCUGUAAGACCUGUCGCUAAUGUCUGCAUGCUAUGUUUUCCUGUCUCAUACAGCGCGAUCGAGCGCCGAACGUGAUCAAAAUAAGCUGAAAACAAGUAUCGCGGACAUAAUUUAUCAUAACUGGUUUUAUUUGGCCUAUCAACACAAUUUAAAAACUGGUAUAUAGGUUGAGGUCCUCACUUUUGAGAUAAGUUGAAACGGAGAGUCAAUGAGGCUCCGUCUUGCAGCUACAUCCGGUUAAAUAUGUCGUGUGACUUGAAGGCACACACACACACACACACACACACACACACACACACAGACACACACACACACACACGCACACACACAAACCCAGAGUCUGGUUUUUAGCACCUGCAAAAACAUGCUAUUUACAUAUUUGACAAGAAUGCAGAGGCUCCUUUUGCCCCUGAAAAAAAUCAGAUUUCAAACACAACUUGACUGGUCAUUUCUCCAAAAGACAACCAUGAAGCUCCAUCCAAACCUGAAGCAGGCAGUUGGUGCAUGUGUACAGUAACCUGAGGGGAGUGAGGUGACUGCUUCUGAGGAGAACAUGAGCAGUGAAGAUUCACCUUAGAGCUAGAACAGAGACGUGCACAUGAUUAUACAGGGGCAGGGGCUCAAGUUUUUUCCAGUUGUUUAUACAAUAUGGAAAUUAAUGUGAAAUUAAAAAACAAAGUAUUAAUAGAAAGGUAAUGACUGUCCUGUGUAGGUGACAGUGAUAUCCAAUAGGCUAGGCACUCACGAGGCUGGCUGUGGCAAGUGUAAGUGAAAGCAACACGCACUGGCAGGAAGAACAGCAAACGCCGAUGAAGGAAAAGGGUCUUUGCAGUGAUGGGCGUUACCAGAGAGGGCGAUGGCCAGAGGACGCGAAUGGGACGGGGAGGCAGCACGUUGGGGGGGGGGACGCGACACAGCUCGGGCCCGCCAGUGCCCCAACGGGGUCCUAGUUAGGGCCCGAGCGUAGCUGCUAAGCAGCUGCGAGAGCCCUAUUAUUCCCCAAGUGGUUUUUCUUUGUUUCUUUCUUUCUUCUUUUUCCUCCCCUUUGAACUGGAAAAUGGCCCACUUCCCACUGGCGAAAACUCAUGAAAUUUGGCAGGAUGACCGGGCCUGGUGAAAAAUUUGAUAUUCCGAAGUCGCCCAAACAAGAAAAUGCAAAAUGGCUCCAUAGCGCCCCCUAAGGUGAAAAUUCACACUAUUGACUGUCACGCCUUUACGCUUUGUCAAAAUGACACAAAAAUUGACACACAUAUGUAUCUCAAUAAGAUCUACAAAAAAGUCAGUGCGGGCGUAUCUGUCAAAUGUACGGUUAAAGGGUUAUUCCGCAUUUUUUGCCGAUCCGCACACAUUGGAAUUUCGCUAACUCCUCCGAAGGCUUUCUUUCCACCGGCACCACAUUUGCUCAGGCCAAUCUACACCCCAUGGCCAUUAAAAGUUAUUCAAAUCAUGACGCUGCACCCCACGGUUUAGGUUCUAGGGGGCGCCAAAGAUAACCCUAAAAUCCACAUAUUUAAAAGUCUUAUAACUUUUUAUUUUUGCCCUCACUGGCCUCCAAGUUUUCUAGGAUGAUGCAAUGUCCAGCCAUCAACACAUUUGUGAAGGAAUUUUUACUCCCCAAAAGAGCGCCCCCCCAUGGCCGGAGAAAAAAGUCCAUUUUUUCUUGUUAUUAUUAUUUUUCCUCCGCUUUAAACUGGAAAAUGGCCGACUUCCCACUGGCGAAAACUCAUGAAAUUUGGCAGGACGACCGGGCCUGGUGAAAAAUUCGAUAUUCUGAAGUCGCCCAAACAAUAAAAUGCAAAAUGGCUCCAUAGCGCCCCCUAAGGCGAAAAUUCACACUAUUGACUGUCACGCCUGUACGCUUUGUCAUAUUGACACAAAAAUUGACACACACGUGUAUCUCAAUACGUUCUACGAAAAAGUCAGCGCGGGCGCAUCUGUGAAAUGUAAUGUUAGAGGGUUAUUUCGCAUUUUUUGCCGAUCUGCACACAUUGGAAUUUCGCUAACUCCUCCGAAGGCAUUCGUUCCACCAGCACCACAUUUGCUCAGGCCAAUCUACACCCCAUGGCCAUUAAAAGUUGUACAAAUCAUGACGCUGCACCCCACAGUUUACGUUCUAGGGGGCGCCAAAGAUAACCCAAAAAUCCACAGUCUUAAAAGUCUUAUAACUUUUUAUUUUUGUCCUCACUGGCCUCCAAGUUCUCUAGGAUGAUGCAAUGUCCAGCCAUCAACACAUUUGUGAAGGAAUUUUUACUCCCCAAAAGAGCGCCCCCACAUGGCAGGAGAAAAAAGUCCAUUUUUUCUUGUCCCCUAAGGUGAAAAUACACAUUGUUGAGUGUCACGCCUAUACGCUUUGUCAUAUUGACCCAAAAUUUGACAAUCACGUGUAUCUCAAUAAGAUCUACGAAAAAGUCAAUGGGCACGUAUCUGUAAAAUGUAUGGUUAAAGGGCUAUUUCGCAUUUUUUGCAGAUUCGCACACAUUGGAAUGUGGCUAACUCCUCCUAAGGCUUUCUUCCCACCGACACCAAAUUUGCUCAAGCCGAUCUACAUCCCAUGGCCAUUCAAAGUUGUAAAAAUCAUGCCGCUGCACCCCAUGGUUUACGUUCUAGGGGGCGCCAAAGAUGACCCAAAUAUCCACAUUCUUAAAAGUCGUUUUGGCCACUGCAGGAGUACAGAGUACUGCAGGAUACACACACACAGACACACACAAACACAGACACACACACACACACACACACACACACACACACACACACACACACACACACACACACACACACACUCAGAGUCUGUUUUUUAGCACCUGCAAAAACAUGCUAUUUACAUAUUUGACAACAAUGCAGAGGCUCCUUUUGCCCCUGAAAAAAAUCAAAUUUCAAACACAACUUGACUGGUCAUUUCUCCAAAAGACAACCAUGAAGCUCCAUCCAAACCUGAAGCAGGCAGUUGGUGCAUGUGUACAGUUACCUGAGGGGAGUGAGGUGAGUGCUUCUGAGGAGAACAUGAGCAGUGAAGAUUCACCUUGGAGCGAGAACAGGGACGUGCACAUGAUUAUACAGGGGCAGGGGCUCAAGUUUUUUCCAGUCGUUUAUACAAUAUGGAAAUUAAUGUGAAAUUAAAAAACAAAGUAUUAAUAGAAAGGUAAUGACUGUCCUGUGUAGGUGACAGUGAUAUCCAAUAGGCUAGGCACUCACGAGGCUGGCUGUGGCAAGUGUAAGUGAAAGCAACACGCACUGGCAGGAAGAACAGCAAACGCCGAUGAAGGAAAAGGGUCUUUGCAGUGAUGGGCGUUACCAGAGAGGACGAUGGCCAGAGGACGCGAAUGGGACGGGGAGGCAGCGCGUUGGGGGGGGGGGGGCGCGACACAGCUCGGGCCCGCCAGUGCCCCAACGGGGCCCUAGUUUGUUAUUAUUAUUAUUAUUUUUCCUCCCCUUUGAACUGGAAAAUGGCCCACUUCCCACUGGCGAAAACUCAUGAAAUUUGGCAGGACGACCGGGCCUGGUGAAAAAUUUGAGAUUCCGAAGUCGCCCAAACAAGAAAAUGCAAAAUGGCUCCAUAGCGCCCCCUAAGGUGAAAAUUCACACUAUUGACUGUCACGCCGGUACGCUUUGUCAAAAUGACACAAAAAUUGACACACACAUGUAUCUCAAUAAGAUCUACAAAAAAGUCAGUGCGGGCGUAUCUGUCAAAUGUACGGUUAAAGGGUUAUUUCGCAUUUUUUGCCGAUCCGCACACAUUGGAAUUUCGCUAACUCCUCCGAAGGCUUUCGUUCCACCGGCACCACAUUUGCUCAGGCCAAUCUACACCCCAUGGCCAUUAAAAGUUAUUCAAAUCAUGACGCUGCACCCCACGGUUUAGGUUCUAGGGGGCGCCAAAGAUAACCCUAAGAUCCACAUAUUUAAAAGUCUUAUAACUUUUUAUUUUUGCCCUCACUGGCCUCCAAGUUUUCUAGGAUGAUGCAAUGUCCAGCCAUCAACACAUUUGUGAAGGAAUUUUUACUCCCCAAAAGAGCGCCCCCCCAUGGCAGGAGAAAAAAGUCCAUUUUUUCUUGUCCCCUAAGGUGAAAAUACACAUUGUUGAGUGUAACACCUGUACGCUUUGGCAAAAUGACACAAAAAUUGACACACACAUGUAUCUCAAUAAGAUCUACGAAAAAGUCAAUGCGCGCGUAUCUGUCAAAUGUACGGUUAAAGGGUUAUUCCGCAUUUUUUGCCGAUCCGCACACAUUGGAAUUUCGCUAACUCCUCCGAAGGCUUUCGUUCCACCGGCACCACAUUUGCUCAGGCCAAUCUACACCCCGUGGCCAUUAAAAGUUAUUCAAAUCAUGACGCUGCACCCCACGGUUUAGGUUCUAGGGGGAGCCAAAGAUAACCGUAAAAUCCACAUAUUUAAAAGUCUUAUAACUUUUUAUUUUUGUCCCCACUGGCCUCCAAGUUUUCUAGGAUGAUGCAAUGUCCAGCCAUCAACACAUUUGUGAAGGAAUUUUUACUCCCCAAAAGAGCGCCCCCCCAUGGCAGGAGAAAAAAGUCAAUUUUUUCUUGUCCACUAAGGUGAAAAUACACAUUGUUGAGUGCUACGCCUGUAUGUUUUGUCGUAUUGACACAAAAUUUUACAUACACGUGUAUUUACAUAAGAUCUUCGAAAAAGGCAAUGGCCACGUAUCUGUAAAAUGUACGGUUAAAGGGUUAUUUCGCAUUUUUUGCAGAUUCGCACACAUUGGAAUUUCGCUAAUUCCUCCGAAGGCUUUCGUUCCACCGGCACCACAUUUGCUCAGGCCAAUCUACACCCCAUGGCCAUUAAAAGUUAUUCAAAUCAUGACGCUGCACCCCACGGUUUAGGUUCUAGGGGGCGCCAAAUAUAACCCUAAAAUCCACAUAUUUAAAAGUCUUAUAACUUUUUAUUUUUGUCCUCACUGGCCUCCAUGUUUUCUAGGAUGAUGCAAUGUCCAGCCAUCAACACAUUUGUGAAGGAGUUUUUUCUCUUUAAAAGAGCGCCCCCCAUGGCAGGAGAAUAAAGUCAAGUUUUUCCUGUUCAUCAUUCAAUGGCUCAAACGCACUGCUCUCUCGGCAAAAGCGAAAGGAGGAGCAACUUGCCAUUUGGAUAUAUCUUAGCUGUGUUUGUGCCCUCACUCAUGGUCCAGACUUUUUUCAAAUAGGACAUGGAGUUUUUCUGCAGCGAGCGUUUUGGUAGAAACUGCGCCUCCCGUUCAUUAUAAUGGUAAAUGACCACAAACAAGUGCGCACACCAUCUUUGGACCUUGAGUGUGACGCGAUCGGGUGAGGGAGGCGGUCGCGCUGGGGGCGGCGUGACACGGCUCGGGCCCGCCAGUGCCCCAACGGGGCCCUAGUUAUUAUUUUUCCUCCCCUUUGAACUGGAAAAUGGCCCACUUCCCACUGGCGAAAACUCAUGAAAUUUGGCAGGACGACCGGGCCUGGUGAAAAAUUUGAUAUUCCGAAGUCGCCCAAACAAGAAAAUGCAAAAUGGCUCCAUAGCGCCCCCUAAGGUGAAAAUUCACACUAUUGACUGUCACGCCUGUACGCUUUGUCAAAAUGACACAAAAAUUGACACACACAUGUAUCUCAAUAAGAUCUACAAAAAAGUCAGUGCGGGCGUAUCUGUCAAAUGUACGGUUAAAGGGUUAUUUCGCAUUUUUUGCCGAUCCGCACACAUUGGAAUUUCGCUAACUCCUCCGAAGGCUUUCGUUCCACCGGCACCACAUUUGCUCAGGCCAAUCUACACCCCAUGGCCAUUAAAAGUUAUUCAAAUCAUGACGCUGCACCCCACGGUUUAGGUUCUAGGGGGCGCCAAAGAUAACCCUAAGAUCCACAUAUUUAAAAGUCUUAUAACUUUUUAUUUUUGCCCUCACUGGCCUCCAAGUUUUCUAGGAUGAUGCAAUGUCCAGCCAUCAACACAUUUGUGAAGGAAUUUUUACUCCCCAAAAGAGCGCCCCCCCAUGGCAGGAGAAAAAAGUCCAUUUUUUCUUGUCCCCUAAGGUGAAAAUACACAUUGUUGAGUGUAACACCUGUACGCUUUGGCAAAAUGACACCAAAAUUGAGACACACAUGUAUCUCAAUAAGAUCUACAAAAAAGUCAAUGCGCACGUAUCUGUCAAAUGUACGGUUAAAGGGUUAUUCCGCAUUUUUUGCCGAUCCGCACACAUUGGAAUUUCGCUAACUCCUCCGAAGGCUUUCGUUCCACCGGCACCACAUUUUCUCAGGCCAAUCUACACCCCAUGGCCAUUAAAAGUUAUUCAAAUCAUGACGCUGCACCCCACGGUUUAGGUUCUAGGGGGCGCCAAAGAUAACCGUAAAAUCCACAUAUUUAAAAGUCUUAUAACUUUUUAUUUUUGUCCCCACUGGCCUCCAAGUUUUCUAGGAUGAUGCAAUGUCCAGCCAUCAACACAUUUGUGAAGGAAUUUUUACUCGCCAAAAGAGCGCCCCCCAUGGCAGGAGAAAAAAGUCCAUUUUUUCUUGUCCACUAAGGUGAAAAUACACAUUGUUGAGUGCUACGCCUGUAUGUUUUGUCGUAUUGACACAAAAUUUUACAUACACGUGUCUUUCAAUAAGAUCUUCGAAAAAGUCAAUGGCCACGUAUCUGUAAAAUGUACGGUUAAAGGGUUAUUUCGCAUUUUUUGCAGAUUCGCACACAUUGGAAUUUCGCUAACUCCUCCGAAGGCUUUCGUUCCACCGGCACCACAUUUGCUCAGGCCAAUCUACACCCCAUGGCCAUUAAAAGUUAUUCAAAUCAUGACGCUGCACCCCACGGUUUAGGUUCUAGGGGGCGCCAAAGAUAACCCUAAAAUCCACAUAUUUAAAAGUCUUAUAACUUUUUAUUUUUGUCCUCACUGGCCUCCAUGUUUUCUAGGAUGAUGCAAUGUCCAGCCAUCAACACAUUUGUGAAGGAGUUUUUUCUCGUUAAAAGAGCGCCCCCCAUGGCAGGAGAAUAAAGUCAAGUUUUUCCUGUUCAUCAUUCAAUGGCUCAAACGCACUGCUCUCUCGGCAAAAGCGAAAGGAGGAGCAACUUGCCAUUUGGAUAUAUCUUAGCUGUGUUUGUGCCCUCACUCAUGGUCCAGACUUUUUUCAAAUAGGACAUGGAGUUUUUCUGCAGCGAGCGUUUUGGUAGAAACUGCGCCUCCCGUUCAUUAUAAUGGUAAAUGACCACAAACAAGUGCGCACACCAUCUUUGGACCUUGAGUGUGACGCGAUCGGGUGGGGGAGGCGGUCGUGCUGGGGGCGGCGUGACACGGCUCGGGCCCGCCAGUGCCCCAACGGGGCCCUAGUCUUCUUGUUAUUUUUCUGCCCCUUUGAACUAGAAAAUGGCCCACUUCCCACUGGUGAAAACUCAUGAAAUUUGGCAGGACGACCGGGCCUGGUGAAAAAUUCGAUAUUCUGAAGUCGCCCAAACAAUCAAAUGCAAAAUGGCUCCAUAGCGCCCCCUUAGGUGAAAAAUUCACAUGAUUGAGUGUCACACCUGUACGCUUUGUCAAAAUGACACAAAAUUUGACACACACGUGUAUCUCAAUAAGAUCUACAAAAAAGUCUAUGCGCACGUAUCUGUCAAAUGUACGGUUAAAGGGCUAUUUUGCAUUUUUUGCGGAACCGCACACAUUGGAAUUUCGCUAACUCCUCCGAAGGCUUUCAUUCCACCGGCACCAAAUUUGCUCAGGCCAAUCUACACCCCAUGGCCAUUAAAAGUUGUACAAAUCAUGACGCUGCACCCCACGGUUUACGUUCUAGGGGGCGCCAAAGAUAACCCAAAAAUCCACAUUCUUAAAAGUCUAAUAACUUUUUAUUUUUGCCCUCACUGGCCUCCAAGUUUUCUAGGAUGAUGCAAUGACCAGCCAUCAACACAUUUGUGAAGGAAUUUUUACUCCCCAAAAGAGCGCCCCCCCAUGGCAGGAGAAAAAAGUCCAUUUUUUCUUGUCCCCUAAGGUGAAAAUACAUAUUGUUGAGUGUCACGCCUAUACGCUUUGUCAUAUUGAAAUAAAAUUUGACACACACGUGUAUCUCAAUAAGAUCUACAAAAAAGUCUAUGCGCACGUAUCUGUCAAAUGUACGGUUAAAGGGCUAUUUUGCAUUUUUUGCGGAACCGCACACAUUGGAAUUUCGCUAACUCCUCCGAAGGCUUUCGUUCCACCGGCACCAAAUUUGCUCAGGCCAAUCUACACCCCAUGGCCAUUAAAAGUUGUACAAAUCAUGACGCUGCACCCCACGGUUUACGUUCUAGGGGGCGCCAAAAAUAACCCAAAAAUCCACAGUCUUAAAAGUCUUAUAACUUUUUAUUUUUGUCCUCACUGGCCUCCAGGUUUUCUAGGAUGAUGCAAUGUCCAGCCAUCAACACAUUUGUGAAGGAAUUUUUACUCCCCAAAAGAGCGCCCCCCCAUGGCAGGAGAAAAAAGUCCAUUUUUUCUUGUCCCAUAAGGUGAAAAUACACAUUGUUGAGUGUCACGCCUGUACGCUUUGUCAUAUUGAAACAAAAUUUGACAAUCACGUGUAUCUCAAUAAGAUCUACGAAAAAGUCAAUGCGCACGUAUCUGUCAAAUAUACGGUUAAAGGGCUAUUUUGCAUUUUUUGCGGAACCGCACACAUUGGAAUUUCGCUAACUCCUCCGAAGGCUUUCGUUCCACCGGCACCAAAUUUGCUCAGGCCAAUCUACACCCCAUGGCCAUUAAAAGUUGUACAAAUCAUGACGCUGCACCCCACGGUUUACGUUCUAGGGGGCGCCAAAAAUAACCCAAAAAUCCACAGUCUUAAAAGUCUUAUAACUUUUUAUUUUUGUCCUCACUGGCCUCCAGGUUUUCUAGGAUGAUGCAAUGUCCAGCCAUCAACACAUUUGUGAAGGAAUUUUUACUCCCCAAAAGAGCGCCCCCCCAUGGCAGGAGAAAAAAGUCCAUUUUUUCUUGUCCCAUAAGGUGAAAAUACACAUUGUUGAGUGUCACGCCUGUACGCUUUGUCAUAUUGAAACAAAAUUUGACAAUCACGUGUAUCUCAAUAAGAUCUACGAAAAAGUCAAUGCGCACGUAUCUGUAAAAUGUACGGUUAAAGGGCUAUUACGCAUUUUUGAUUGAUUCGCACACAUUGGAAUGUGGCUAACUCCUCCUAAAGCUUUCGUUCCACCGGCACCACAUUUGCUCAGGCCAAUCUACACCCCAUGGCCAUUAAAAGUUGUACAAAUCAUGACGCUGCACCCCACGGUUUACGUUCUAGGGGGCGCCAAAAAUAACCCAAAAAUCCACAGUCUUAAAAGUCUUAUAACUUUUUAUUUUUGUCCUCACUGGCCUCCAAGUUUUCUAGGAUGAUGCAAUGUCCAGCCAUCAACACAUUUGUGAAGGAAUUUUUACUCCCCAAAAGAGCGCCCCCCCAUGGCAGGAGAAAAAAGUCCAUUUUUUCUUGUCCCAUAAGGUGAAAAUACACAUUGUUGAGUGUCACGCCUGUACGCUUUGUCAUAUUGAAACAAAAUUUGACAAUCACGUGUAUCUCAAUAAGAUCUACGAAAAAGUCAAUGCGCACGUAUCUGUAAAAUGUACGGUUAAAGGGCUAUUACGCAUUUUUGAUCGAUUCGCACACAUUGGAAUGUGGCUAACUCCUCCUAAAGCUUUCGUUCCACCGGCACCACAUUUGCUCAGGCCAAUCUACACCCCAUGGCCAUUAAAAGUUGUACAAAUCAUGACGCUGCACCCCACGGUUUACGUUCUAGGGGGCGCCAAAGAUAACCCAAAAAUCCACAUUCUUAAAAGUCUUAUAACUUUUCAUUUUUGUCCUCACUGGCUUCCAAGUUUUCUAGGCUGAUGCAAUGUCUAGCCAUCAACACAUUUGUGAAGGAAUUUUUACUCCCCAAAAGAGCGCCCCCCCCCCAUGGCAGGAGAAAAAGUCAAGUUUUUCCUGCCCAUCGCUCAAUGGCUCAAACACAUGUCAUGUGUUCAAACUCCUCCGAAAGGAGGAGCAACUUGCCAUUUGGAUAUAUCCUAGCUGUGUUUGUGCCCUCACUCAUGGAUCAGACUUUUUUCAAAUAGGACAUGUAGUUUGUCUGCAGCGAGUGUUUUGGUAGAAACUGCGCCUCCCAUUCAUUAUAAUGGGAAAUGACCACAGACAAGUGCGCACACCAUCUUUGGACCUUGAGUGUGACGCGAUCGGGAGGGGGAGGCGGUCGCGCUGGGGGCGGCGCAACGCGGCUCGGGCCCGACAGUGCCCCAACGGGGCCCUAGUUAUUAUUUUUCCUCCCCUUUGAACUGGAAAAUGGCCCACUUCCCACUGGCGAAAACUCAUGAAAUUUGGCAGGACGACCGGGCCUGGUGAAAAAUUUGAUAUUCUGAAGUCGCCCAAACAAUACAAUGCAAAAUGGCUCCAUAGCGCCCCCUAAGGUGAAAAAUUCACCUGACGCCUGUACGCUUUGUCAAAAUGACACAAAAAUUGAAACACACAUGUAUCUCAAUAAGAUCUAUAAAAAAGUCAGUGCGGGCGUAUCUGUCAAAUGUACGGUUAAAGGGUUAUUUCGCAUUUUUUGCCGAUCCGCACACAUUGGAAUUUCGCUAACUCCUCCGAAGGCUUUCGUUCCACCGGCACCACAUUUGCUCAGGCCAAUCUACACCCCAUGGCCAUUAAAAGUUAUUCAAAUCAUGACGCUGCACCCCACGGUUUAUGUUCUAGGGGGCGCCAAAGAUAACCCUAAAAUCCACAUAUUUCAAAGUCUUAUAACUUUUUAUUUUUGCCCUCACUGGCCUCCAAGUUUUCUAGGAUGAUGCAAUGUCCAGCCAUCAACACAUUUGUGAAGGAAUUUUUACUCCCCAAAAGAGCGCCCCCCCAUGGCAGGAGAAAAAAGUCCAUUUUUUCUUGUUCCAUAAGGUGAAAAUUCACACUAUUGACUGUCACGCCUGUACGCUUUGUCAAAAUUACACAAAAAUUGACACACACAUGUAUCUCAAUAAGAUCUACAAAAAAGUCAGUGCGGGCGUAUCUGUCAAAUGUACGGUUAAAGGGUUAUUGCGCAUUUUUUGCCGAUCCGCACACAUUGGAAUUUCGCUAACUCCUCCGAAGGCUUUCGUUCAACCGGCACCACAUUUGCUCAGGCCAAUCUACACCCCAUGGCCAUUAAAAGUUAUUCAAAUCAUGACGCUGCACCCCACGGUUUAGGUUCUAGGGGGCGCCAAAGAUAACCCUAAAAUCCACAUAUUUAAAAGUCUUAUAACUUUUUAUUUUUGUCCUCUCUGGCCUCCAAGUUUUCUAGGAUGAUGCAAUGUCCAGCCAUCAACACAUUUGUGAAGGAAUUUUUACUCCCUAAAAGAGCGCCCCCCCAUGGCAGGAGAAAAAAGUCCAUUUUUUAUUGUCCCAUAAGGUGAAAAUACACAUUGUUGACUGUCAUACCUGUAUGCUUUGUCAUAUUGACACAAAAUUUGACACACACAUGUAUCUCAAUAAGAUCUACGAAAAAGUCAAUGCGCGCGUAUCUGUAAAAUGUACGGUUAAAGGGCUAUUUUGCAUUUUUUGCCGAUUAGCACACAUUGGAAUGUGGCUAACUCCUCCUAAGGCUUUCGUCCCACUGACACCAAAUUUGCUCAGGCCAAUCUACACCCCAUGGCCAUUCAAAGUUUUAAAAAUCAUGACGCUGCACCCCACGGUUUACGUUCUAGGGGGCGCCAAAGAUAACCCUAAAAUCCACAUAUUUAAAAGUCUUAUAACUUUUUAUUUUUGUCCUCACUGGCCUCCAAGUUUUCUAGGAUGAUGCAAUGUCCAGCCAUCAACACAUUUGUGAAGGAAUUUUUACUCCCCAAAAGAGCGCCCCCCCAUGGCAGGAGAAAAAAGUCCAUUUUUUCUUGUCCCCUAAGGUGAAAAUUCACACUAUUGACUGUCACGCCUGUACGCUUUGUCAAAAUUACACAAAAAUUGACACACACAUGUAUCUCAAUAAGAUCUACAAAAAAGUCAGUGCGGGCGUAUCUGUCAAAUGUACGGUUAAAGGGUUAUUGCGCAUUUUUUGCCGAUCCGCACACAUUGGAAUUUCGCUAACUCCUCCGAAGGCUUUCGUUCAACCGGCACCACAUUUGCUCAGGCCAAAUUACACCCCAUGGCCAUUAAAAGUUAUUCAAAUCAUGACGCUGCACCCCACGGUUUAGGUUCUAGGGGGCGCCAAAGAUAACCCUAAAAUCCACAUAUUUAAAAGUCUUAUAACUUUUUAUUUUUGUCCUCUCUGGCCUCCAAGUUUUCUAGGAUGAUGCAAUGUCCAGCCAUCAACACAUUUGUGAAGGAAUUUUUACUCCCUAAAAGAGCGCCCCCCCAUGGCAGGAGAAAAAAGUCCAUUUUUUAUUGUCCCAUAAGGUGAAAAUACACAUUGUUGACUGUCAUACCUGUAUGCUUUGUCAUAUUGACACAAAAUUUGACACACACAUGUAUCUCAAUAAGAUCUACGAAAAAGUCAAUGCGCGCGUAUCUGUAAAAUGUACGGUUAAAGGGCUAUUUUGCAUUUUUUGCCGAUUAGCACACAUUGGAAUGUGGCUAACUCCUCCUAAGGCUUUCGUCCCACUGACACCAAAUUUGCUCAGGCCAAUCUACACCCCAUGGCCAUUCAAAGUUUUAAAAAUCAUGACGCUGCACCCCACGGUUUACGUUCUAGGGGGCGCCAAAGAUGACCCAAAUAUCCACAUUCUUAAAAGAAUCCACAUCCCUUCCCCCCCUCCCAUCCCCCAUCCCCCAUGGCAGGAGAAACAGUCAAGUUUUUCCUGCCCAUCACUCAAUGGCUCAAUCGCAUCGCUCUCCCGGCAACACCGUAACGAGGAGCAACUUGCCGUUUGGAUAUAUCCUAGCUGUGUUUGUGCCCUCACUCAUGGUCCAGACUUUUUUCAAAUAGGACAUGGAGUUUGUCUGCAGCGAGUGUUUUGGUAGAAACUGCGCCUCCCAUUCAUUAUAAUGGGAAAUGACCACAGACAAGUGCGCACACCAUCUUUGGACCUUGAGUGUGACGCGAUCGGGAGGGGGAGGCGGUCGCACUGGGGGCGGCGCAACGCGGCUCGGGC